UCCUAUGGUGAAGCUGGAGAGGGACAUCUUCGGAUGUGCGGGUCUCUUGUGUACCUGUCGACCAACCCUUUUCAGCUUUGCCACCCUC
rnacentral:antisense_RNA from 1 species